GAAACGUUACAAUCAGGAACAAAAACAAUAAAACACAGCACGGGUUGAGCAGCGGCAGCCAGACGCGCCAGCGUUCACUCAACCCCGAAAGUCGGAAGAAACCACAAGGGAGAGGGGGAGAAAAAAACCACGCUCGAGCUAUCCUCAUUUUGAGGAUAGUUUGAGUUAGGCAAAAAAAAACCUCCUGCACAAGUAUAUGACAAUUACAACAGGUCACAAGACAUGAACAAUGAAGGCGGUGAUACAAGGGAGUGUAUGCUCAGUACAGUUGG